UACAGAGGUGGCAAGCGUUGUUCGGAUUUAUUGGGCGUAAAGGGUUCGUAGGCGGUUUGAAAAGUCAGAUGUGAAACCCCACUGCUUAACUGUGGAACUGCAUUUGAAACUUUCAGACUAGAGUAUGAGAGGGGUAAAAGGAAUUCCCGGUGUAAGGGUGAAAUCUGCAGAGAUCGGGAGGAACACCAGUCGCGAAGGCGUUUUACUGGCUCAUUACUGACGCUCAGGAACGAAAGCUAGGGUAGCAAACGGG
rnacentral:rRNA from 1 species